rnacentral:rRNA from 1 species
CAGUCGAACGAACCUUCGGGUGAGUGGCGGACGGGUGAGUAACGCGUGGGAAUCUGCCCUCAGGAGGGGGAUAACGGCUGGAAACGGCCGCUAAUACCCCAUAUGCCGAGAGGUGAAAUGAAUUUCGCCUGAGGAUGAGCCCGCGUCUGAUUAGCUAGUUGGUGAGGUAAGAGCUCACCAAGGCAUCGAUCAGUAGCUGGUCUGAGAGGAUGAUCAGCCACACUGGGACUGAGACACGGCCCAGACUCCUACGGGAGGCAGCAGUGGGGAAUUUUCCGCAAUGGGCGAAAGCCUGACGGAGCAACGCCGCGUGAGGGAUGAAGGCCUCUGGGCUGUAAACCUCUUUUCUCAAGGAAGAAGAUCUGACGGUACUUGAGGAAUAAGCCACGGCUAAUUCCGUGCCAGCAGCCGCGGUAAUACGGGAGUGGCAAGCGUUAUCCGGAAUUAUUGGGCGUAAAGCGUCCGCAGGCGGCCCUUCAAGUCUGCUGUUAAAACGUGGAGCUUAACUCCAUCAUGGCAGUGGAAACUGUUGGGCUUGAGUGUGGUAGGGGCAGAGGGAAUUCCCGGUGUAGCGGUGAAAUGCGUAGAUAUCGGGAAGAACACCAGUGGCGAAGGCGCUCUGCUGGGCCAUAACUGACGCUCAUGGACGAAAGCCAGGGGAGCGAAAGGGAUUAGAUACCCCUGUAGUCCUGCCGUAAACGAUGAACACUAGGUGUCGGGGGAAUCGACCCCCUCGGUGUCGUAGCCAACGCGUUAAGUGUUCCGCCUGGGGAGUACGCACGCAAGUGUGAAACUCAAAGGAAUUGACGGGGGCCCGCACAAGCGGUGGAGUAUGUGGUUUAAUUCGAUGCAACGCG